AUUGAACGCUGGCGGCAGGCCUAACACAUGCAAGUCGAACGGUAACAGGAAGCAGCUUGCUGCUUUGCUGACGAGUGGCGGACGGGUGAGUAAUGUCUGGGAAACUGCCCGAUGGAGGGGGAUAACUACUGGAAACGGUAGCUAAUACCGCAUAACGUCGCAAGACCAAAGAGGGGGACCUUAGGGCCUCUUGCCAUCGGAUGUGCCCAGAUGGGAUUAGCUAGUAGGUGGGGUAACGGCUCACCUAGGCGACGAUCCCUAGCUGGUCUGAGAGGAUGACCAGGCACACUGGAACUGAGACACGGUCCAGACUCCUACGGGAGGCAGCAGUGGGGAAUAUUGCACAAUGGGCGCAAGCCUGAUGCAGCCAUGCCGCGUGUAUGAAGAAGGCCUUCGGGUUGUAAAGUACUUUCAGCGGGGAGGAAGGGAGUAAAGUUAAUACCUUGGCUCAUUGACGUUACCCGCAGAAGAAGCACCGGCUAACUCCGUG
rnacentral:rRNA from 1 species